rnacentral:rRNA from 1 species
GAUGAACGCUGGCGGCGUGCCUAACACAUGCAAGUCGAGCGAUUCUCUUCGGAGAAGAGCGGCGGACGGGUGAGUAACGCGUGGGUAACCUGCCCUGUACACACGGAUAACAUACCGAAAGGUAUGCUAAUACGAGAUAAUAUGCUUUUAUCGCAUGGUAGAAGUAUCAAAGCUCUGGCGGUACAGGAUGGACCCGCGUCUGAUUAGCUAGUUGGUAAGGUAACGGCUUACCAAGGCGACGAUCAGUAGCCGACCUGAGAGGGUGAUCGGCCACAUUGGAACUGAGACACGGUCCAAACUCCUACGGAAGGCAGCAGUGGGGGAUAUUGCACAAUGGGCGAAAGCCUGAUGCAGCAACGCCGCGUGAGCGAUGAAGGCCUUCGGGUCGUAAAGCUCUGUCCUCAAGGAAGAUAAUGACGGUACUUGAGGAGGAAGCCCCGGCUAACUACGUGCCAGCCGCCGCGGUAAUAC